rnacentral:rRNA from 1 species
GACGAACGCUGGCGGCGUGCUUAACACAUGCAAGUCGAACGGAAAGGCCGUCUUUGCCUUGUGUUUUGCGUGGACUCGAGUGGCGAACGGGUGAGUAACACGUGAGUGAUUUUUUCGCAAGUUAGGUAGAAGGGUGGGAAACUGUGUCAAAUCACCGAUAGUACGGCAGGGUGCUGGCGAUCGUGGGACAUUGUGUGCUAGUGUGAGGCGAUGAGCGCGCGGCCGAUCAGCUUGGUGGUGGGGUAAUGGCCCACCAAGGCGACGACGGGGAGCUGGACUGGGAGGGUGAUCGGCGACACUGGAACUGGGACACGGUCCAGACUCCUACGGGAGGCAGCAGUAGGGAAUGUUGGACAAUGGGCGCAAGCCUGAGCCAGACACACCGCGUGGGUGAGGAAGGCCUUCGGGUUGUAAAGCUCUUUUGUUGUGGAAGAAGAGCAGCAGAUUUAUAUCCAGCGGUUGUGACGGUACCCGAAGAAGAAGCACCGGCUAACUACGUG